GGAUGAGACAGGAAACAGAAGGAUCCAGAGAAGGUGGGACUCUGCUCACUCAGCUCUGUGGCCUCCCGUGCUGUGUGUCCCUAGAUGCCCACGGCUGCCUCCACCCUGCCACGCCUCCCUGAUUUCAGGAUGAGGCACUGGGGAUCCAACAGACUCCUGAUGCUGCACACGAUAGAAGGGACGCCCCCAGGGCAGGCAGCUCUGUCAUGAGGCCUGGCCUUCCUCACUCCUAGGAAGGAUGAAGCCCCUGAGCAGGAAGGAAGCAGAGGGGAGUGGAGGGGUGCCAGGGAGAUCAGAUGCACCGAUGGGCACCCACUCUCCAUGUCUCCUGCCUUUUGCCUGUUUCCUGACAGAAUGCAUCUGCACGUCCUAGGAUCACUCUCCCACGUGCGCAGGAGAUCAUCCACCUGCAGCCCUAAGCCCUUGCCUGUGGUCUGCUGUGGCUUUGAUCACCCGUGCCAUUGGGUGAUCAGGACACUUCAUUUCACAACUGCUAUGGCCCAGCCUUGCUGCGGAACAGUUCUCUCAGCACAGAUAGUAGGUACGGCGAUGCUGUUAAAGUCCAAAAAAAAAAAAACCGAAAGAGACCAAGAAUGUCACUAGGAAAUGUGACAGGAAUCAGAGCCUGGGAAUGAAUUUGUCAAAACAGAGGCAGCCACCAUUCGCUGUCUGCCCUGCUAGCAGGAGCUUCACGACUUUGACCAAAAAGCCCAAACUUAGUUGUUCUAGAAAUAUUGCAUCAAGAAGGAACGCGUGAUUUUCACAGACAACCCAGGUAAAUGGCGCCUGGUGCUUUCACUGCUGAGGUGGCUUCAGGGAGGCUUUGCGCUUGAUGGUGGCAGUUCACGGCUGUGGUCUCUUUCCAAGCCAUGUUACUUACAAUGACAGAGAAAGCUCAUGUCAUACAGCAUGCUCAGCACUAGAGUUUCACAAUGCAGAAGGAAAUUCAGCAAUGUCAAAAAAUAAAGUAAAUGAGAUUUU
rnacentral:lncRNA from 1 species